CCCCAGUUUGCCCACGAGGUUGGUUGUGCGCGUUUUUGUUCGGGUUUCGUUAUUUCGUUUAAGCUAGAAAUAAGCCGUGUGUGUGUCAGGUUACCAAUUUUGUGUGCCUAAGAAAAUCAAGAGCGAUCGCCAAAAACAGCAGCAGGCCCCCUGCCACACACCACACCCCGAUACACCAGCCCGUUGGGCAUACCUUCUUCGCUGGAAAUCAAACCACCAGCUCGCCCGAUUCGUCAACAUAUCGGCAUCCGAAGAAGUCUGGGAGAUUCUGGUGGCACUGGAAGCUACAUCCGGUGUAAGCAACCCCGAUUACACCAGCAUACAUCCGGUCAAACCACUAUUACCAUCCACCACUCACCGAAUGAAAUCUGAGUUGCGAACAGCCAAUCAUCGUCGCCGUCGUCAGCGAGCCACAGCAGCAGCAGCAGAUACAACCAAGUAGGUGCUUUCCAGUAGGGGUUCAUCCAUAAAGGAUGACACCUUUCAUAUAAAACCCAAUUGAUCGAUCAUAACCUUUUUAAUCGGGACGGUUACAAUAACCCGUUUCCCCGAAGUCAGGUUGCCGAGGCAUUUUUGGUCCACCAUCACAUUUUUAUGACCGCCCCAACCUAGAAAAACUAAAUAUUCCCCGGGAAGAGCGAUGAAAAGAGCACGGAGAACUAGGUAGAGAAAAGGCACACGGCUAGGUAUAGAGUAGGGUAGCUAGAGUAAUGAUCGUGUUAAUCGUUAAAUGUUAAUUUAUUACUCUUAAUUAAAAUGUAUCCCCUCACCAUCUACAUUCGCCCUUUGAUUACGUUAAUACACUAAAUCCAAAUCCUAGCCAGAAUUUUUAAAUUGAAGAGAAAUGACAACUUCACUUUCGGUCGUUAGUCCAUUCGUCAGCUCGCUCUGCGCUUGGCGCAUUUGAAUUCGAGUCCACCACGCUUCCAGGCUUGGGGAGUUAUUCUGGGAAUGAACGUUUGACUGUCCAAUGAUGAGUGUUUCGGGCAUGGGUGCCGUCGAAGAAUCGUGAGUCCUUGGUCGGCUUGAGGCGUUGUGGUCACGUGUCGAUGUUGACAGACGUUCGUUGCGUUAGGCGAAAGUCUGAGUUU